ACAAUGGGUUGCUAAAGCGCAAGUUGGAGCUAAUCCCAUCAAAGCCGGCCCCAGUUCGGAUUGAGGGCUGAAACCCGCCCUCAUGAAGCCGGAAUCGCUAGUAAUCGCGCAUCAGCUAUGGCGCGGUGAAUACGUUCUCGAGUCCUGUACUCAC
rnacentral:rRNA from 1 species